GUGCCAGCAGCCGCGGUAAUACGUAGGUGGCAAGCGUUGUCCGGAAUUAUUGGGCGUAAAGCGCGCGCAGGCGGCCUCUUAAGUCUGAUGUGAAAGCCCCCCGGCUCAACCGGGGAGGGCCAUUGGAAACUGGGAGGCUUGAGUAUAGGAGAGAAGAGUGGAAUUCCACGUGUAGCGGUGAAAUGCGUAGAGAUGUGGAGGAACACCAGUGGCGAAGGCGACUCUUUGGCCUAUAACUGACGCUGAGGCGCGAAAGCGUGGGGAGCAAACAGGAUUAGAUACCCUGGUAGUCC
rnacentral:rRNA from 1 species